AACGAACGCUGGCGGCAGGCCUAACACAUGCAAGUCGAGCGCCCCGCAAGGGGAGCGGCGGACGGGUGAGUAACGCGUGGGAACGUACCCUUUGCUACGGAAUAGCCUCGGGAAACUGGGAGUAAUACCGUAUGUGCCCUUCGGGGGAAAGAUUUAUCGGCAAAGGAUCGGCCCGCGUUGGAUUAGGUAGUUGGUGGGGUAAUGGCCUACCAAGCCGACGAUCCAUAGCUGGUUUGAGAGGAUGAUCAGCCACACUGGGACUGAGACACGGCCCAGACUCCUACGGGAGGCAGCAGUGGGAAUCUUAGACAAUGGGCGCAAGCCUGAUCUAGCCAUGCCGCGUGAGCGAUGAAGGCCUUAGGGUUGUAAAGCUCUUUCAGUGGGGAAGAUAAUGACUGUACCCACAGAAGAAGCCCGGCUAACUCCGUG
rnacentral:rRNA from 1 species